UUCAUACAUAGAUAUAUUCACAUAUUAUACUGUCAAAGAAUGUAACUUCUUGCCAACAUCUUAGCUAUACUAGUUAACAUGAGAAGAGCAAUCGGUCUUAUUUGCUUGCUAAUCAUCACUGCAAUAUCUGAGGACAUAUAUAGAUUAGAUGAUCUAAACCUCAGUAACAGUCAAUGGAAUAAUGCCGAUGAGAAACAAGGAAUUUGAAAAGAUGCAGGCCAGUUUCUUUUUUUCUGGAAUUUUAAGAUUAUCCACCACGAUAUUACCAUAUGAUGAUGAGUAAACAGAAAUGUUAUUGUCAAAUAAAAUGGGGUUGCGAGAUAUUGGACCACAUAUAUUUUAACAUUUGGAAUUUUAGUAAU